rnacentral:rRNA from 1 species
GGGUGUGACUGCGUACCUUUUGUAUAAUGGGUCAGCGACUUAUAUUCUGUAGCAAGGUUAACCGAAUAGGGGAGCCGGAGGGAAACCGAGUCUUAACCGGGCGUUAAGUUGCAGGGUAUAGACCCGAAACCCGGUGAUCUAGCCAUGGGCAGGUUGAAGGUUGGGUAACACUAACUGGAGGACCGAACCGACUAAUGUUGAAAAAUUAGCGGAUGACCUGUGGCUGGGGGUGAAAGGCCAAUCAAACCGGGAGAUAGCUGGUUCUCCCCGAAAGCUAUUUAGGUAGCGCCUCGUGAAUUCAUCUCCGGGGGUAGAGCACUGUUUCGGCUAGGGGGCCAUCCCGGCUUACCAACCCGAUGCAAACUGCGAAUACCGGAGAAUGUUAUCACGGGAGACACACGGCGGGUGCUAACGUCCGUCGUGAAGAGGGAAACAACCCAGACCGCCAGCUAAGGUCCCAAAGUCAUGGUUAAGUGGGAAACGAUGUGGGAAGGCCCAGACAGCCAGGAUGUUGGCUUAGAAGCAGCCAUCAUUUAAAGAAAGCGUAAUAGCUCACUGGUCGAGUCGGCCUGCGCGGAAGAUGUAACGGGGCUAAACC